GCUUGACUCUGGAGUGGAUAGCUUGUUCCAUGUGCCAUAGCAGAACCCGGCGAUCAUCACCUCCUUAACAGGGGAUAUUCUUUUCUACUCAAGAAGAGCA